CACGCGUGCGGGCUGCAUGGGGUCAGACCGCAGCUAAGGCACCCGCGCAAGCCAUCAGAGGCAACAGGAGAGCCCCAGUCCCUGGCACCGGCUUAUGCUAGUCAUUAGGAACACUUGGGCACCACUGGCUGGGUCUGUUUCACUCUGUUGGGUGGUUCCGUCUGGAAGCUAAUUCCUGUUUUCUUCCAUUAUCAUAGAUUUGGGUGUGAAAUGUGUGAGGGCGGUGUGAGGAAAUCUCAAUCUAAUCCGAGUGCCACUUCUGGGCUGGGUGAUGUCUGAGUCCGUCCUCAGCCACCACAGCACAGCUGUGGGUGUCACAGGGCGAGUCACAGCCUUGCCUCCUGCCUCCGGCUCCACUGGGCCAGGCUUUCCUCUCUUCUAAAGCCUGGUGUGAUGCGGAAUAUGGGCGUCACGAGGAGCCUGCCCCCCACUGUCAGACUUCCCAGCCUCCAGAGUGGCGAGCUGAACCUAGACCGCAGGAUUCCAAACAGUAAAGACGACAGCAGGGGGAUCAUGAGUUCUGGGCCAGCCUGGGCUAUGAAGUAAGACCCUGCCUUUCUUUUUUCAAUUUUAAUGUAUUUACAUUUUUAAUAUUAAUUUGUUUGAAAUUAAAAUUUUCCUUUUUCUAAGAAAAGAUUUUGUUUAUUUAUGUUAUUGUCUAUGAUGCUCUAUCUGCGUGUUCACCUGCACGCCAGGAGAGGGCAACGGAUCAUAUGACAGCUGGUUGUGAGUCGAAUGGUUGCUGGGAAUUGAACUCAGGACCUCCGGAAGAGCAGCCAGCGCUCCAGGGCCUCUGCAUAAGCACCAGCCUCCAGGUUCCUGCCUUGUCUGAGUGUCCUGGCUUCCCUCAGGGAUGGGCUACAGUGUGGAAAUGUAAGUCAAAUAAACUCCCAAGUUGC